UACGAAGGGGGCUAGCGUUGUUCGGAAUUACUGGGCGUAAAGCGCGCGCAGGCGGUCUUCCAAGUCAGUGGUGAAAGCCCGGAGCUCAACUCCGGAACUGCCAUUGAAACUGUCAGACUUGAGGAUGAGAGAGGUGAGUGGAAUUCCCAGUGUAGAGGUGAAAUUCGUAGAUAUUGGGAAGAACACCGGUGGCGAAGGCGGCUCACUGGCUCAUUACUGACGCUCAGGCGCGAUAGCGUGGGGAUCAAACAGG
rnacentral:rRNA from 1 species